UACGUAGGGGGCUAGCGUUGUCCGGAUUUAUUGGGCGUAAAGAGCGUGUAGGCGGCCAGGUAGGUCUGCUGUGAAAACUCGAGGCUCAACCUCGAGACGUCGGCGGAAACCAUCUGGCUAGAGUCCGGAAGAGGAGAGUGGAAUUCCUGGUGUAGCGGUGAAAUGCGCAGAUAUCGGGAAGAACACCCGUGGCGAAGGCGGCCACCUGGACGGAUACUGACGCUGAGACGCGAAAGCGUGGGGAGCAAACAGG
rnacentral:rRNA from 1 species